UACGGGGGGGGCAAGCGUUGUCCGGAAUUACUGGGCGUAAAGGGUUUGUAGGUGGCCUGCUAAGUCAGACGUGAAAUCCCUCAGCUUAACUGGGGAACUGCGUCUGAGACUGGUAGGCUCGAGGACAGGAGAGGAACGCGGAAUUCCAGGUGUAGCGGUGAAAUGCAUUGAGAUCGGAAAGAACACCAACGGCGAAAGCACUCUGCUGGACCGACACUGACACUGAGAGACGAAAGCUAGGGGAGCAAAUGGG
rnacentral:rRNA from 1 species